UAGGGAAUCUUCCGCAAUGGGCGAAAGCCUGACGGAGCAACGCCGCGUGAGUGAUGAAGGUCUUCGGAUCGUAAAACUCUGUUAUUAGGGAAGAACAAAUGUGUAAGUAACUAUGCACGUCUUGACGUUACCUAAUCAGAAAGCCACGGCUAACUACGUGCCAGCAGCCGCGGUAAUACGUAGGUGGCAAGCGUUCUCCGGAAUUAUUGGGCGUAAAGCGCGCGUAGGCGGUUUUUUAAGUCUGAUGUGAAAGCCCACGGAUCAACCGUGGAGGGUCAUUGGCAACUGGAAAACUUGAGUGCAGAAGAGGAAAGUGGAAUUCCAUGUGUAGCGGUGAAAUGCGCAGAGAUAUGGCGGAACACCAGUGGCGAAGGCGACUUUCUGGUCUGUAACUGACGCUGAUGUGCGAAAGCGUGGGGAUCAAACAGG
rnacentral:rRNA from 1 species